rnacentral:rRNA from 1 species
GACGAACCGAGCGAACGUUGUUCGGAAUCACUGGGCUUAAAGGGCGCGUAGGCGGGUGCUCAAGUCCGGGGUGAAAUCCUCCAGCUCAACUGGAGAACUGCCUCGGAUACUGGGUGCCUCGAGGGUGGUAGGGGUAUGCGGAACUAUCGGUGGAGCGGUGAAAUGCGUUGAUAUCGAUAGGAACUCCGGUGGCGAAGGCGGGUCUCUGGGCCGAUACUGACGCUGGAGGAGCGAAAGCGUGGGGAGCGAACAGG